rnacentral:lncRNA from 1 species
UGAGUCUACAAUGUUUGUCUUUUGAAAACAAGUCCAUUCGUCAGCAUCAUUCCUUGACACUUCAGUCUGUGGUUAAACUCUUCUCUUCUAAGAACAAUAGAAGAUCUGAGAAACAGUGUUUAAAGCAGCAUCUCCGAUUUGGCAGUUAACAAGGUUGUAUCUGACAUGUAUGCACAAUGACAAGCAGGAACCAACAGUCUGUGAGGAAAUGGUUGAUAACUGGUCUGGGACAUGGAAAAUAAAGUUGAGUCUUGACCAUUCUGUCCAAUCAACAAAGGGCCUAUUCAAAGGUUGAUGGAGACCUGGUACUGUGAGGCGGAAGAUACCUGGAAAACAUGAGCAUCUUUCAGUGCAAAACUAAAUUAUAAUGAUAUACCAUCCAACAUAAUAUAAAACAGGAAACCAUGAGUAAGG